GACGAACGCUGGCGGCGUGCUUAACACAUGCAAGUCGAACGGAAAGGCCCUGCUUUUGUGGGGUGCUCGAGUGGCGAACGGGUGAGUAACACGUGAGUAACCUGCCCUUGACUUUGGGAUAACUUCAGGGAACUGGGGCUAAUACCGGAUAGGAGCUCCUGCUGCAUGGUGGGGGUUGGAAAGUUUCGGCGGUUGGGGAUGGACUCGCGGCUUAUCAGCUUGGUGGUGGGGUAGUGGCUUACCAAGGCUUUGACGGGUAGCCGGCCUGAGAGGGUGACCGGCCACAUUGGGACUGAGAUACGGCCCAGACUCCUACGGGAGGCAGCAGUGGGGAAUAUUGCACAAUGGGCGGAAGCCUGAUGCAGCAACGCCGCGUGCGGGAUGACGGCCUUCGGGUUGUAAACCGCUUUCGCCUGUGACGAAGCGUGAGUGACGGUAAUGGGUAAAGAAGCACCGGCUAACUACGUG
rnacentral:rRNA from 1 species